CGAGCCUAUGAUUACUAUAGGAUUAAUUAAGCACAGAUGUGAAUGAAAUACUGAACUAAAUAUUAGUUAUACCCUUCAAAAGCAGACAGUGACUAUGGACCUCCAGGGCUGAAUCCAUUCUCUUCAGCACAAGCUGAAUAACCAAGCUCCCAGGAACCUGUGAGACAAGAACAGUUGCAAGGUCUACUUACCCAGAUCUUUUUGAAGAACAUUUUCCUUCUCACUCUGUAUUAAGCUUGAAGUUUGUGGUUUCCAUUUCACACCUAAAGAGGGAUUUGCAUGCCUAA